rnacentral:rRNA from 1 species
GACGUAGGGCGCGAGCGUUGUCCGGAUUUAUUGGGCGUAAAGCGCACGUAGGCGGCUCUGCAAGUCGGAUGUGAAAUCCCUCGGCUCAACCAAGGAAGUGCAUCCGAAACUGCGGAGCUUGAGUACUUAAGAGGAUCGCGGAAUUCCCGGUGUAGAGGUGAAAUUCGUAGAUAUCGGGAGGAACACCAGUGGCGAAGGCGGCGAUCUGGGAAGAUACUGACGCUGAGGUGCGAAAGCGUGGGGAGCAAACAGG